GCCUAAUUUUUUUUUUGAAAUUUCUACAAUUUGUGUUGGUUGUUUUCUUGAUUUUGUUGGUCUUCUGCAAAGAUUUUUACAUUUUAAGGGUUUGUUUUCUUUAAUUCACCUUGUGGUGCUCUUUCAUUGUCAUUGUUAGAGCUUUUUUUUUUUUGCAUUCUUAUUGGAAAAAAAUUACUAGGGGAGAUAAAAAGUCUGGAAAAACCUAGGGUGGAGGUGAGGGUCAUAUUGGUCGUGCUUCACUGAG
rnacentral:lncRNA from 1 species